AUAGGAUGCAAGCGUUGCUCGGAAUUACUGGGUGUAAAGAGCGUGUAGGUGGCUAGAUAAGUCAGUGGUGAAAGCCCUCGGCUCAACCGGGGAACUGCCAUUGAUACUGUCUAGCUUGAGUAUGGGAGAGGAAAGCGGAAUUCCUGGUGUAGCGGUGAAAUGCGUAGAUAUCAGGAGGAACACCGGUGGCGAAGGCGGCUUUCUGGACCAAUACUGACACUGAGACGCGAAAGCGUGGGGGGAGCAAACAGGAUUAGAUACCCUGGUAGUCCACGCCCCUAAACGAUGGGCACUAGGUGUGGGAACUUUUAGAGUUUCCGUGCCGAAGCUAACGCAUUAAGUGCCCCCGCCUGGAAGUACGAUCGCAAGGUUG
rnacentral:rRNA from 1 species